CAGCUAUAUCAUGUUGAAACUUCGAUUCUCAUACAAUCACCAAAGUGAAGCAAUGUCGAGCCUGGUUAGUACUUAGAUGGGUGACUGUUUAGGAAUACCAGGUGCU